rnacentral:rRNA from 1 species
CCUACGGGAGGCUGCAGUGGGGAAUAUUGGACAAUGGGCGAAAGCCUGAUCCAGCCAUGCCGCGUGUGUGAAGAAGGCCUUCGGGUUGUAAAGCACUUUCAGUGGGGAAGAAAGCCUUGGGGCUAAUACCCUCGAGGAAGGACAUCACCCACAGAAGAAGCACCGGCUAACUCCGUGCCAGCAGCCGCGGUAAUACGGAGGGUGCGAGCGUUAAUCGGAAUUACUGGGCGUAAAGCGCGCGUAGGCGGUCUGAUAAGCCGGUUGUGAAAGCCCCGGGCUCAACCUGGGAACGGCAUCCGGAACUGUCAGGCUAGAGGGCAGGAGAGGAAGGUAGAAUUCCCGGUGUAGCGGUGAAAUGCGUAGAGAUCGGGAGGAAUACCAGUGGCGAAGGCGGCCUUCUGGACUGACACUGACGCUGAGGUGCGAAAGCGUGGGUAGCAAACAGGAUUAGAUACCCGAGUAGUC